CCUACGGGAGGCAGCAGUGAGGAAUAUUGGUCAAUGGACGAGAGUCUGAACCAGCCAAGCAGCGUGAAGGAUGACGGCCCUAUGGGUUGUAAACUUCUUUUAUAUGGGAAUAAAAGGUUCCACGUGUGGGAUUUUGUAUGUACCAUAUGAAUAAGGAUCGGCUAACUCCGUGCCAGCAGCCGCGGUAAUACGGAGGAUACGAGCGUUAUCCGGAUUUAGUGGGUUUAAAGGGAGCGUAGGGGGAUUGUUAAGUCAGAUGUGAAAGUGCGCGGCUCAACCGUAAAAUUGCAGUUGAAACUGGCAGUCUUGAGUACAGUAGAGGUGGGCGGAAUUCGUGGUGUAGCGGUGAAAUGCUUAGAUAUCACGAAGAACUCCGAUUGCGAAGGCAGCUCACUGGACUGCAACUGACGCUGAGGCUCGAAAGUGUGGGUAUCAAACAGGAUUAGAUACCCUUGUAGUC
rnacentral:rRNA from 1 species